AUUUUCUGCUUAUGUAAAGUGCAUACUGUACACAGAAAAAUACAUUUCUUAAUCUGAGGCUUUAGUCGUGGGAUAUAAAGCUCUUGUCGGAUCAUUUGCUGCAUAAGCCGAUGUUCGGCGUGUAGCAUCAACAAAGCGCACCAAACUCA